UAGAGUUUGAUCCUGGCUCAGAUUGAACGCUGGCGGCAGGCCUAACACAUGCAAGUCGAGCGGUAGAGAGGUGCUUGCACCUCUUGAGAGCGGCGGACGGGUGAGUAAUGCCUAGGAAUCUGCCUGGUAGUGGGGGAUAACGCUCGGAAACGGACGCUAAUACCGCAUACGUCCUACGGGAGAAAGCAGGGGACCUUCGGGCCUUGCGCUAUCAGAUGAGCCUAGGUCGGAUUAGCUAGUUGGUGGGGUAAUGGCUCACCAAGGCGACGAUCCGUAACUGGUCUGAGAGGAUGAUCAGUCACACUGGAACUGAGACACGGUCCAGACUCCUACAGGAGGCAGCAGUGGGGAAUAUUGGACAAUGGGCGAAAGCCUGAUCCAGCCAUGCCGCGUGUGUGAAGAAGGUCUUCGGAUUGUAAAGCACUUUAAGUUGGGAGGAAGGGCAUUAACCUAAUACGUUAGUGUUUUGACGUUACCGACAGAAUAAGCACCGGCUAACUCUGUGCCAGCAGCCGCGGUAAUACAGAGGGUGCAAGCGUUAAUCGGAAUUACUGGGCGUAAAGCGCGCGUAGGUGGUUCGUUAAGUUGGAUGUGAAAGCCCCGGGCUCAACCUGGGAACUGCAUUCAAAACUGUCGAGCUAGAGUAUGGUAGAGGGUGGUGGAAUUUCCUGUGUAGCGGUGAAAUGCGUAGAUAUAGGAAGGAACACCAGUGGCGAAGGCGACCACCUGGACUGAUACUGACACUGAGGUGCGAAAGCGUGGGGAGCCAACAGGAUUAGAUACCCUGGUAGUCCACGCCGUAAACGAUGUCAACUAGCCGUUGGGAGCCUUGAGCUCUUAGUGGCGCAGCUAACGCAUUAAGUUGACCGCCUGGGGAGUACGGCCGCAAGGUUAAAACUCAAAUGAAUUGACGGGGGCCCGCACAAGCGGUGGAGCAUGUGGUUUAAUUCGAAGCAACGCGAAGAACCUUACCAGGCCUUGACAUCCAAUGAACUUUCCAGAGAUGGAUUGGUGCCUUCGGGAGCAUUGAGACAGGUGCUGCAUGGCUGUCGUCAGCUCGUGUCGUGAGAUGUUGGGUUAAGUCCCGUAACGAGCGCAACCCUUGUCCUUAGUUACCAGCACGUAAUGGUGGGCACUCUAAGGAGACUGCCGGUGACAAACCGGAGGAAGGUGGGGAUGACGUCAAGUCAUCAUGGCCCUUACGGCCUGGGCUACACACGUGCUACAAUGGUCGGUACAGAGGGUUGCCAAGCCGCGAGGUGGAGCUAAUCCUACAAAACCGAUCGUAGUCCGGAUCGCAGUCUGCAACUCGACUGCGUGAAGUCGGAAUCGCUAGUAAUCGCGAAUCAGAAUGUCGCGGUGAAUACGUUCCCGGGCCUUGUACACACCGCCCGUCACACCAUGGGAGUGGGUUGCACCAGAAGUAGCUAGUCUAACCUUCGGGGGGACGGUUACCACGGUGUGAUUCAUGACUGGGGUGAAGUCGUAACAAGGUAGCCGUA
rnacentral:rRNA from 1 species